UCCCCCCGCACCUCAUCCCCCACCUCCGGCACAAACGAAACAGUGAGAAGCAGCAGAAAAAGAAAACCUGGGAAAAACUGGUUUUGUCCAAAAGGACUCAGUGCUGCCGGGGUGCUGGUGCAGCUCAGCAGGCUUUAUCUCCACAGCGCACCCGUGAAAAAGCAGUGUAUGCACAUUUUCCAGCAAAUGGCAGGUGGCAGCAGUGAAGGGAAAGACCUGUCCAUUCCCUAUUUUUGAAGGGAUCCAGCACGCCUGCCCUGCCAUGAGCUAGGCUUUUUCUAGACAUCAAAGGAGUUCUGAACUGAGUCAUUAUGCUGUGAUCUCAGCCAGUGCCUCAUGACAGGGCAAAGGCUCAGCCAAGCAGGGCUUCCCUGCCAUAUUGUCUUUUCUGAUCCAUGGUCAGCUAUGGAGGCUACCAUACUGAGGAGGGGCUUCUCCGCCUUCUUGUUUUAAUUUGUUCCUGGGAGUCCAUGGGAUUCAGCAACAUUGUAUUUAAUGCUUAUUACUGUAUUGUUGAUUGUUGCUAUUUUGCUUCUAGUAAACUGAUAUUUUUUUACCUA